CCUACGGGAGGCAGCAGUGGGGAAUAUUGGGCAAUGGGCGCAAGCCUGACGCAGCAACGCCGCGUGAGGGAAGAAGGUUUUCGGGUUGUAAACUUCUUUUCUCAGGGACGAAGCAAGUGAGGGUUCCUGAGGAAUAAGUCACGGCUAACUACGAGCCAGCCGCCGCGGUAAUACGUAGGUGGAAAGCGUUAUCAGGAUUUACUGGGUGUAAAGGGCGUGUAGGCGGGACGUCAAGUCAGAUGUGAAAUCCAUGGGCUCAACCUAGGUCCUGCAUUUGAAACUGUAGUUCUUGAGUAUUGGAGAGGAAGAUGGAAUUCCUGGUGUAGCGGUGAAAUGCGUAGAUAUUAGGAGGAACACCAGUGGCGAAGGCGAUCUUCUGGACAACAACUGACGCUGAGGCGCGAAAGCGUGGGGAGCAAACAGGAUUAGAUACCCUUGUAGUC
rnacentral:rRNA from 1 species